UAAAAACACUGGAGACAACCUCAGUGACCAACAGCAGGAAAACCAAGAAGUGCCUCUGAGACAUGUUCACAUCACUCAGCAGCAAUGAAAAUGAGUAAACUGGAACAGCAGAUAGCGACAUAAAUCUCCCUGCACAGUGGAAACCAAGUGUAGUGUAUACAAAGUUCAAAAUACGCACUUAGGUGCUACGUAUGUGGGUGUACGGUAUGCCUGUUUGCAUGUCUGGGGUUUUUGAAGAAAACCACACGAAGUACUCGGAGAGAACAUGGAAGAUGAGAAGGCUUUCCAUGCGUGACAAUCCCAGGAGAAAAGAGAAACGGACCAUGUAUAAAGGUAAACAUGUGGACCAAGAUACACCUCUCUAGAGUUAGGAAAACAGAUUUGCUGUGCCUACGACAAAGAGCAAAUUCCCUUCACAUGACUGGCAAAAUUCAAAGGUUGACAGCUACUGGUCUCUCCCUUGCAGCUGGUAUCAGGAAACCGUAUUUGUGCAUAUAAUGAGCAUGUAAACUGGCUCAGUCUUUGGAGGAGGGCAACUUGACGAAUGAGAUUUUUAAACAUCCAUACCCUUGGAUCAAGUACUCGCUUCAGUGAAAUCCUGCCACGUGUUCACAGAAACAAUGUAAUCGUGCUGCAGGAUUGUGUAGCAAGAAAUUGGAAAUAGCCUGGAUGGCCAUCAAUAGGCAAAAUGUUCAAUAAGAACAUUAGUACCAUGGAAUAUUAUGCAGCCUUCAAAAAACACGAGGUAGAUCUGUGUGAAUGAGCAAGGGAAGAUGUCCAACAGAUGUCUGCCAGUGAAACGUGAAAGUACAGAACAGUUUGUAUAAUACUCUGUCAUUCAUUUUUUUAAAAAACAGGAGGAAGUUAACAGGUUCCAGUCAUAAUGGUUACUGAGAAUAACUGAUAGUGAUACAGAUGGCGGAUGGUGGGAACCAGUUUUCUCAUGUUGGUUACAGAUAAGCCAGGGGAGAGGGCUAGAAUGAUUCAUGUGGUAAUGAAUUACACUUGGAGACACCAGUAUAAGAUCCUGUUUCACUUGAUAUUGAUAUAGAUGAUCCUGUAUAGAAAUACUUCUAGUUAUGUGUAUAUAAGCACAUGUACCUCACACCAUCAACUGAGAGGGCCGGGAAGCAAGACACUGCAGCAGCAAUGAGCAUACUUAGCUUCAGGUUUCUGAUAUCAUUUCUCCAAUGAAAGGAAUCAGGAAUCAAAUCUGCUUAGAAAAAAGAUGGGAGUCUAGGGCCAGGGCAGAAAAUGUACAACACACACCUGGAGAACACUGUAGUGUCAGGAAGUGCAGAUGGGCUUAAAAAACAACAACACGUCAAUGAUCAAAGACGAGGUUGUGUCAAAGGGACAGAGGAACUAACUGAAAACGUUCUGCAUGGCCAAAGCUAAAACAAUUUCAGCAACAAAAUAAAGUAGGACUAGAUUAUCAUCCAAAGUAUAAAAUAAAUAUCCAUCAGUCUCUAGUGACAUAAGCAGGAGAGACUAGAAAUCUCCCAUGCAGAAGAAAUCCAAGUAGCUUCUGCAGAGAACUCUGCCCUUAGGGAGGCGAACCAUAACUCCAGUUCCUUAAGUGUGAGCUAUGCACAGUGACCGCGUUCCCUGGAGUACAUACAAGUGUGGACGAGGGAGAAGUUAACCCACAGUGGAGAAACCUAACAGACACUACCUCAGCCAAGUGAUGUCAUUCGAGAGCAUGUGCCCUGGAUGUGAAGUGAGGAGAAUGGCAUUUUACCUGUGGUCUUCCCCCCACCCCCCACCCCCAAAAAAACACAUAACCUCAGUCUAAUCAAAGAGAAAACACCUGACAAAUCCCAAAGACAGACUGCAAAAUACCUGACCUGUACUCCUUAAAAUUGCUGAGAUCAUCAAAAACAAGGAAAAUCUGAGAAACUAUCAUAGCCAAGAGGAGCCUAAGGACACAGGACAACUGAAUAAUACAAGAUCCUGGAUGAGAUCCUGGAACAGAAAGAGGCAAAAACUAAAAUCUGAAUGAACUAUGGAUCUCAGUUAAUAGUAACGUAUAAAUACUGGUUCAUAAUAUGUAAGUACUGUGACAAAUAUCAUGUAAAAUGUUAGUAACAGGGGAAACUGGGUCUGGGUCAUAUAAGAACCCUCCGUACCAUGUGCUCAAUUUUUCCAUAUGUCUAUAAAUAUUCUAAAAUAAAUAGUUUAUUUUAAAAAGCUGAGAUAAAUAUUUUUUUACUCUUUAUAGGAACAUCAAAGAACUACAAGAGAGUACAGAACUUCCGGGCCAAAAUCUAAGCAGCAGCAAGGAGAAUCAGAAUAUCCAAGGAGGGAGUGACACCGCUGACUUCACAGUAUCAGUAGAGGCCAGGAAACUGUGGAAGGACAGCUUCACAGGAUGAAAGAAAUUACUGGCAACCCCUAGAUUCUAAACCUGGAAAAAAAAACAUACACUAUUUAAAGAAUCAAGGUAAAAUAAAGAGCUUUUCAGACAAACAAGAACUGUGCUUCACCCACAGACUCUCACACUAAGGGAAUUUCUAGAUGGGGGCAGAGGUAAUUGCCCUAAGUGACCUGCGGCCUCUGUGACGCAGGACCCACGAAGAAUAUACUGGCCAGCUUCAGAUGCAGAUACACCGGUAAGUAUGUUGCUAUUCCUCGGGUGAGCAGAAGACAGAGAGAGGCAACACUAACAAAUCAACAGAAGGAGAAAAUGAAAGAACAAAUAGGACAAUAGGAGCUGACAGGAAAUCCCAAAUAUAAUUCAUAACUCUCUACGAAUAUCCUAGAUGUGUUAUUUCUGUCACAGCUAUUGCUGAAAGAGGGAUUUCAGCCUGACCCAGAUGUUUCUGUUUUGAAAAACAAUCUGUGCCUCUAACGUGAUUCCCUGAAGCACUGAAGAGACACAAACCCAUCCAGAACUCUGCUAGGAACGUUGGGGAAGCUAAAUUGGGUCGCUUUUCCACCAAAAUUAGCAGAAAUUAUAAAACACAUUUUGUAAUUUCAGAAACUACUCAAAAUUACUUCAUUUAGGACUAAAAAUAUACAAAAUUUAACAUUUAUUACCUCUUUGGUAUUUAUAAAUCAUGACCUGUUAAGAAAGUUUUUUUCCAUUAAAAAUUGUUUACUUUUUAAAUAAACUCUGCUGAUGAACUAGCCAACUACAAAAAGGGGGGUGAUAUACACACAAGCUUUGGCAACUUAAGAUUAUUUCUAGAAAAAUACACAAAAAAACUAUUGACUGUGGUCACUUCUACAAGAGGAAACAGGGAGAAGAAAGGCAGGCUGGGUUAAUUUUACCAUAUGCUUUCUUGAGAAUUGUGAAUCUAACUUAAAAAAUAUAUUAGAACAUCUGAUACUGACAAUUUUAUGGAAAGACAAAGCUAAAAAUAGCCAAAACACAACUAAAAAUAACAUCAGCGGUUCUUCUUCUUCCAAAUACCAAUCUCUAUAAAGUUAUAGUAAUUAAGAUAGUGCAGUGUAGGUGCGGGGAUACAAAAAUGACUAAUGGUACAGAAGGGAGGGCGCAGAGACAGGUGUGCUCCUCCAGGAACACCUGAUUUGUAAAACAGCUGGCAUCAUAGGUUGGUGAGAAAAGUAAUUUUGCAGUAACGGAUGGUUAUGCAUGUUUAAACAUGAAUGAAAAAAAUCAAUAAAAA